rnacentral:rRNA from 1 species
UUGGAGGGCAAGUCUGGUGCCAGCAGCCGCGGUAAUUCCAGCUCCAAUAGCGUAUAUUAAAGUUGUUGCAGUUAAAAAGCUCGUAGUUGAAUUUCGGGAUCAAUUUAUUGGUCGUGCCAACGGUACGCACUGGUACAAUUGGUUUCUCCCUUCUGACGAAGCAUGAUGUCAUUAAUUUGAUGUCGUGGGGAAUCAGGACUGUUACUUUGAAAAAAUUAGAGUGUUUAAAGCAGGCUUUGGCUUGAAUACAUUAGCAUGGAAUAAUAAAAUAGGACGUUUGAUCUUAUUUCGUUGGUUUCUAAGAUCGACGUAAUGAUUAAUAGGGAUAGUUGGGGGCAUUAGUAUUCAAUUGUCAGAGGUGAAAUUCUUGGAUUUAUUGAAGACUAACUACUGCGAAAGCAUUUGCCAAGGAUGUUUUCAUUAAUCAAGAACGAAAGUUAGGGGAUCGAAGACGAUCAGAUACCGUCGUAGUCUUAACCAUAAACUAUGCCGACUAGGGAUCGGAUGAUGUUAAUUUUUUAAUGACUCAUUCGGCGCCUUACGGGAAAC